rnacentral:lncRNA from 1 species
GCCGGGAGCCGUCGAGCCAGGCCUUCCCUCCCUGUCGUCUCCCAGGAGCAACCUACGUUAGAGGAGGGGGAGGCAGCGCCAGAGCCCGCAGGGCCCGGAGGUACCAGGGCAGCUCCUGGGUGGGCUGCCCCCUCUGCCGUGGGGCCCUGCUGCUGCUGACUUGCUACUUCGACUGCUCCCUCUCAAACUCGACUGGCCUGCCCCUCACUUGGGUGCUUGCCCUCCUGGGCCUCUCACAGGCACUGACCAUCAUCUUGGACUUCCAGGUAUGACACAGAGGGAGGUGGGGGGGUCUGUCCA